UGUGGGAGCUGGCUUGCCUGCGAUAGCGAAGUGUCAGCCGAUGAUGCAUUCACUGAUCGACCGCUAUCGCAGGCAAGCCAGCUCCCACA
rnacentral:misc_RNA from 1 species